GGCAAGCGUUAUCCGGAAUUAUUGGGCGUAAAGCGCGCGUAGGCGGUUUUUUAAGUCUGAUGUGAAAGCCCACGGCUCAACCGUGGAGGGUCAUUGGAAACUGGAAAACUUGAGUGCAGAAGAGGAAAGUGGAAUUCCAUGUGUAGCGGUGAAAUGCGCAGAGAUAUGGAAGAACACCAGUGGCGAAGGCGACUUUCUGGUCUGUAACUGACGCUGAUGUGCGAAAGCGUGGGGAUCAAACAGGAUUAGAUACCCUGGUAGUCCACGCCGUAAACGAUGAGUGCUAAGUGUUAGGGGGUUUCCGCCCCUUAGUGCUGCAGCUAACGCAUUAAGCACUCCGC
rnacentral:rRNA from 1 species